AGAAAAUGAUGUGUUAACAUAUACUGAAGUAUCUGGUAACUCAUGAAGUCCCAAGAGGGCAGAGAUAUCCAUCCGCCUUAUUCAGUGGUAUACCUCAAGUGCCUGAAAUGUUGCCUCAAAAGCAGUUGCACUCAAAACCGUGGAGUGUUUUUGCAGAAGACCCUUCCAUUGCAAGAUGGAAAGAAUAUGGACCCCUGUGUCACUAAUUGGAAGAGAGUGAUCAAGAAACCUGCCCACCCAGAAACAUCCACAUUGGGUUUUGUUAUGAAUGAUAAAUACAUAUUUUAUUAAGCCCCUGAGAUUUGGGGGUUUGUUACAUCAUUUAUACUAUCUAACUUACACAUUUUCUACAUCCUAUUUUUCACCAAGCUGUCAGAAUGAACCUAUUAAAACAUAGGUCAAAUCGCAUCACUCUCUUGCUCCUUACUUUACUUUACUUUACUCAAUCACACAGGCCUCCUAGCUGUUCCUGGCACCAACCACUACCUUCACUGCAAGCCUUUUACUUGCUCUUUUCUGUGCAUGGAGUGCUGUGCGCCUAAUUCUUUAUAUGCCUGCUCUCUCAUCUCUUUAGUCAAUCUCUUAGUGAGGCUUUUCCUUGACCUACUUAUUUAAAAUGGAAUCUGACUUUCACUCUGACAACUUAUAUUACCCUUCUUGUUUGAACUUUCUCCAGAAGAGUUACUAUCUCACACACAAUAUUUUUUUGUGGUUUUAUGUUUUGUCUGCUUGAAUCCCAGCACUUAGAACUGUGUCUAGAACAUUCCAGGAACCCAGUAAAUAUUUGUUAAAGGAUAAAUUAGUUGAACCAAUGAAUUCUAUAUUUUUCAUUUUUUCAAGCAUUUAACAUUUAUUGACUUCAAUACAUUUGGGGUUCUUUGGCCUAGAGAACCCUAACCCACUCACAUAUACACAUCCCAUCCUUUUAUCACACCCAUCUUUCCAGUAUCAAUUUAGAUAUCACUUCCUAAAGCCAGAACCCCAAUUUUCUUCUACUGAUACGUCUCUUCCAUUACCUUUCCUGCUCAUCUGUUAUCACAGAAGUUUUCAUAUGGUAAUAUACAAUAGCCUAUCUGUCUGUAUUCCCAACUAUAUUUACUUUCCAUGAGAGCAGAGAUCAUAACAGUGUGGUUCCGUCUUGCAUCUCCACCAUCUAUUGCAGUUUAUGGUUCAUAAAGUAAUAACUCAUUAAACUUUCUUGAAUUCAGAAGACUUAAAGUAAAACUAUUUGGAUUGGCAAUUUAGAGAUUUCUGAUAAUUAUGGAUUAUGGUUUCAUGGUAUGAAGAGUGGUAGGAAGAAGCCAGAAGAUUGAAGAAUAAGUUUUUAGAGAAGAGUAGAAGCCGUUUUAAGUUUUUAUGGCCCAAGGCAUGAAUCAAGGAUGAUUUUCUGGCACCAAGUGUUUACAGUGAUGCAAGGAGUGUGUGGGCCAAGGGCCUUGAGA